GACGAACGCUGGCGGCGUGCUUAACACAUGCAAGUCGAACGGAAAGGCCCUGCUUGCAGGGUACUCGAGUGGCGAACGGGUGAGUAACACGUGGGUGAUCUGCCCUGCACUUCGGGAUAAGCCUGGGAAACUGGGUCUAAUACCGGAUAGGAGCCAUUUUUAGUGUGAUGGUUGGAAAGUUUUUUCAGUGUAGGAUGAGCUCGCGGCCUAUCAGCUUGUUGGUGGGGUAAUGGCCUACCAAGGCGGCGACGGGUAGCCGGCCUGAGAGGGUGGACGGCCACAUUGGGACUGAGAUACGGCCCAGACUCCUACGGGAGGCAGCAGUGGGGAAUAUUGCACAAUGGGCGCAAGCCUGAUGCAGCGACGCCGCGUGGGGGAUGACGGCCUUCGGGUUGUAAACUCCUUUCGCUAGGGACGAAGCUUUUUGUGACGGUACCUAGAUAAGAAGCACCGGCUAACUACGUG
rnacentral:rRNA from 1 species